UACGGAGAGUGCAAGCGUUGUUCGGAAUUAUUGGGCGUAAAGCGCGUGUAGGCGGCCUGACAAGUCUGGCGUGAAAGCCUGGAGCUCAACUCCAGAAGUGCGCUGGAAACUGUUGGGCUUGAGUACCGGAGGGGAAGGUGGAAUUCUCGAGUGUAGAGGUGAAAUUCGUAGAUAUUCGGAAGAACAUCAGUGGCGAAGGCGGCCUUCUGGACGGAUACUGACGCUGAGACGCGAAAGCGUGGGGAGCAAACGGG
rnacentral:rRNA from 1 species